CAUUUGGGGAGCCUGUG
rnacentral:misc_RNA from 1 species